AAACGGACACCUCUGAAACAAAGACAGAUUAACAAGAGAAAAGCCCAACAAAUAUAUUCGACCACAGCUUUACAAUACACAGGAGCCUUCGGAAUGAAGACCCAAAGACCCAAGAAAAAGUCCGAGAGGGCAACGCCAUGGGGCUGAGCUGCUCAAUGCCCUCCCAGUGCAUCCUGCUGCAAGGAUGCCCCCCAGGAUGCUGCCUCACCUAACCAGCCGCUCCAGGAGUGGCCCCCAGCCCCCACCCCAUGGAGCUUCGACUUCCUGGUGACCAGUGCUCCAGUAACCUCUAAGUGCUUGAACCACGCCUGUCAGCCAGUUAUGGCUUUGGCUCUGAGAGCCCCCCUGACCAACUUAACCAAUGCUUUUUUUCUGUAAGAAAUUGCCACUUACUGUUGGUUUCUGUCCGACCCGGUGAGAUACUUGAGGCUUCCCCUACCUGUGCACACAACGAAAUGAAGACAAUAAAAAGCCAGAGUUUGCUCUUUCUAGUAAUAACCACUUAUUGCAACU
rnacentral:lncRNA from 10 species